rnacentral:lncRNA from 1 species
UGGGCAGAAGUGGAGAGUGACUAUUAUGGAAUUCUCGAAGAAGUGAUCAAGUUGACCUACCUUGGAGGUAAUAGUGUCAUUCUAUUUAAGUACCGAUGGUUUGAUACCGAUAAUUGUAUGAAAGUUGAUCUAUAGUAUAGACUUAUUGAAAUCAAAUAUGGAUCAAAAGUAUAUGUCAAUGAUCUAUUUGUGUUAUCCC